CCCAUUGUGUGUGUAUUAUCUGUGGCUAGUUUUAUGCUAGAGUGGCAUAGCUGAGUGGUUGCAGCAGAGACCACAUGACUCAUAAGCCUAAAAUAUUAAGUAUCUUGCCCUGUAAGAUAAACGUCUGCCAACCCCUACUAUAGGCUACCAGAAAAGUGUCUGGCUUUCUACUAAGGAUGCUUACUGUGGCUGUUUCAGAUUUCUAGAGUUCUUGAAGAUCUUAUAUUAGGCCUUACUGUUGUAAUCCCAUGAGAAGAUAAUCUGGUAGUUGAGAUAGGAAAUUAUUGGCAUCAGAUCUCCAAAUAGUAGUUUUGUAUCUGGUAAAACCCUUUCAUUUUCAGUGCUUUCCCUAGAUCCCGGAGGCCAAGUUCUUCAGCAGAGCUGACUUGUGGCCUUAGUGUGACAGGCUAUCCUCUAUCUCAUUCUGAUUUCUCAGCCCAUGCAGAGGAGUUUGGACUAACCCAAACCCAGAGGCAUGAGAAGGGGAGGCUCAUCAAUUCCACCAAGUCCUGCAGCAUGCUGACCUCACUGCCCCCGUUAGUGCCAAAGCCCAGGAGAUACUGCUGCAGAGAAAGCCUCCUACCCUGUCUGCCUAAACAUGGCACACAUCCACUCUGUCAGAACAAGGCCCUGAGCUUGGAGUUGGUGGGCUUUGUGUCUGUGUUGGCUUGAGACUGGAAUCCGCAUUCAGUAUUCUUGCAGCCAACCUUUACAGAAUCCUCCUAUGUCCUUGUUUCUACUUUGUUGUCCUAGUUCUCAAACUGGAGUCUUAAUGAAACUCCUGGCUAGGAAUAGGGUUAAAGUUCUCGCUGCUACAGAACAGCAACAGCCCAGCAGUUGGGGCAGUUCUGUUCAGGGCUGAGAUAGGAAGUGAGACAUGUUGGUAGCAAGAGGAAACCGCGUGCUCUAAGUGCGGUGGGGGGACAGGGGUGACUGAGGUUUAUUCCCAUUGCAGCUGGAAGGGAGGAGGCUGGCAGUGGGAGGAGGGAGCAGACAAUCCAGAAUAGCAAAGAAGACAGAAGCUGAGCACACCCAGAGCUGCUUUUAGCUGGUAAUGAGAGCACUUGGGAAAGUGCAGUUCGUUCCAUGAGUGAGUGACAACCUCUUGACGACUCUGGCUCAACUGAGGACGGGGCCAGUGUGCUGAAGACAGCGUCAUACUGCCGGGUAGAAUGGCUCACUUGCAUUUAUUUGGAACAAAAGAAGGCAAAGCCUGGCAGCCCUGCUUUCUGUGGUACUGUUGAGCCACCAAUUUGUGUGAUUCCGUGACCAUAAAUGCUGAUCAACGUGACAUGAUCCCAGUCUUGUCAGUGAAUCAUCACCAGGCUGUUUAUUGGAAACCAGGUGCAACAAGGAACAUAGGACUUAACCCCUUCCUGCCUCCCAGCCUCCAAAGAAUUUAAUCUGCUGGACAACAAACAAUACUGUUAUAAAACUUUGAAAACAAGAGGGUGCGGCCUCCCUGACAAGGAGAAGGGCAUGCCGGGUAACGGCCCGAGGGAGCGUGCCAGGCCUGAGAUGGAGCCGGGCGAGAGCCCAGUUGGCUGCGUACCUGGUGCCGGCCCCUGCCCAGCGCACUAGCCGCACCAUCCCCUGUCCAGAGAGGAAGGAACUGAAACAAAAGGGGGAGGCAGAGAAGUGCUUGAAAAAGGGAAGUUGUAUGUGUUCCCCUCUGUGAUCUGAUGGGAAUGCACUAGACUGUGAAACUUCCUCCUCCACCUCCUCUCCCUGUCCCUCCUCCCUUGUCCCUCCUCCCUCCUCCCCUGCCUCCUUCUGCUACUCACUGUUCCUGAGCCUGGCACUUGGAGGCCCUGAUAACAGAAUGAGGCUGGAAUAGCCAUGGAGGUACAGCUACCAGUUGGGCCAAAGGAGAAGCAGGAGAGGAAGUGAGCUCCCAGUUGGCUCUGGGCUAAGACCUACCCUCUGUCUGGCCUAGCCUCCCUCCCUGCAAUUAGGGAAGUGGAACCAGUCCCGUCACAGGGUGUGCCCCAGUCCAUGUGCUUCGCCAGGUGUGUGCCCAGGUACUAGGUAGAACUGCCACUCAGAGGCUAGUGGCUGUACCCUGAGCCUCCUGGUGCCCCCCUCGGGCUGUGCGCCACUCCUCCAGGGAGGACGUCUGACUUGUCAGAAGGCUGUCUCCUUUGAGAUGCUCUGCUCUUACUCCAGGGAGGAGCAGAGGCUGCUGCAGAGGCUGGGGCAUGCCCGGGAGGAGCUCCCGCAGACAGGAAUGGGCUCGCUCUCCCAGCCAGCAGGCACGCGGUCCUGAAUGUGGUGCCUGGUAGGAAACUGUCUGUUAGUUACUUCUGGUAGCUGAAGGAGGGGGUGGCCCAGCUUCGUCUGGGAGAGGUCGGGAAGCUGGGGUCUCUGGGCCGUCUCUCUCCCGACUUCCAGUGUCAGAUUUCACCUGAAGUUUCAUUUCUGCAUGCAUCUUCAUGAGUCAGGUAGAUGAUCUGGGAUUGACCAGGGAGCAGUGUUGAUGGUUUUCCUUUGAAUCCACAUUGGUCUGGACCCAUGAACUGUGUGGUGGGCAUAGUGUCUGUGUAAUAGACCAUAGGCGUGCUCAUUCUUCCUCCUGUGGAAAGCUCUGGUUUCCUUGAAAGCAGUUCAGGGCCAAGCCUCUCCUCAUCCACCAGAACUAAGCCCUCUGCCAUGGGAGCAUGGAGGCAGCACGCUCUGCUCUUUACUCCGUCCCUCCUUCUUCCCUUUGUCCUCUGCUCUCACCUGCUGCCCCUCCCCAGCCCAGGGCAGGGUAACCUUGGUGCCCUCUCCUGUCCAGCCAGCGAUCCUGACCCCGGGCCUAUGUGCCCUGGACUGACUGUGGGAGUGUUCAGCCUGAGAUUUUAGUCAGCAGUGUUGAGGAAGAGGCAGACAGCCUCACUUUUAGGGAGUGCAGCUGCCUAGGAACCUCCACACGCCUGACCCCGGGGAAACCAGAAGAACUGAUGUCAGGCGUAUGUAGACUCAGAAGGCUUUUACUUCUUGCCCUGUUACCUGGGUCUGGCGGAUAUUAGUCCCACUUUGUGACUCACGGUCUGGAAAGUGCAGUGUCCCUGGAUACUAAGCCCUCCUUGGGGGCCAAGCUGCCAGAAAGGAAGGGGCUGGUGGAGGUUUGGGAGGUUGUAGGGCCAGCCAGCUCCAUGCUGCCCUCCACUCUUAACCCCUCAUACAUACACCUUUCAUUUUAUCCCCCUUUCCUCUGAUUCAUUAACUACCGUCCCCACCCUCACAGCUAAAGACAAAAUGUCCAGGAUGUUGGAAGCGUGACAGGAAGCCGGGCUGGCCUCUCAGUUCGUAUAUGUAAUGGUCUGGGACUGUCUUGAGGGCAGGAUGGUCCCCUUGUCUUAAAGGGCCUUCCCCAGGCCCCUUUCUUACCAAGAUGAUUUCUUCCUCACUACCAGGAACCCUGAAACCAGCAUUCCCAGAGCCAGGAGGAUGGACCAUCUGGGCUCCAGCUUCCGGCACCCCUCCCCCACUCUGGCUGGGCACGUAAGUAGCUGUGACUCAGCAUCUCACUGGGUCAGGAGAGAGAAGCUGCUGCCUUGGCAGGCAUCUUCCCACGUUCUGGGUUUGAACACACUGUGGUAGCACAGAACAAGCAAGCAGGAUUAGGUUCCUGGGGGGUGAAGAUCUAUGCAGUAGAUUUGCUUAUGGAUUUCUGAAACUAGGAUUCCCUCACCCUCCUGUUUUCCUCCCAUGUUGGUUUUUGGGUACCAUACUGGGCCCAAGACAUUUAGCACUUUAAAAGACAUUGAAAGCAUCGUUUAUAGAAUGAAGUAGAAGCUAUCUUUGCAAUAUCCAGGCUGUUUUUACCCAGAGGUCCAUGAAAUGUAUUUAACCCUCACAUGUGUGUACCGGGGGGGGGGGGGGGUUAUUUGUUUUUUAAUGUAUCUGAUUAUUUAUGCCUUAGCACAAAAUGCUGGCCUCUCUCGGUCACUGUGUUUAUGCUGCACACUGCUGCUGCUUCUGUCUCUCAAGUUUCCUCCUCAUGCCAUCUGAGCAUUUGAAUGUGUGGUGACCUGUGUGCCCAGCCUUCUCUCUUUACAGAGGAAGACACUGAGGCCCAUUCAGAGUGAGUGGCAGGUCCCUUUCUCAGAAUGUGGGGCUGAGCAAGAAUUAAAGCCACUGUUUUCUAAUUCAGUGUGUGGUGACCUUUCCUCUAUCCUGCCCAGGCAGAGGCAAGACAGGGUGGAGGAUAUGCAGAUAGAAUGUGGGCACAGAAGCCAAAGGGGGCCUGGGCAUAGCUCCCCACACCUCUCCCCGGAAGGCAUGCCAGGGCUGACAUACCCGCCUCUCGGGGUGGGUGGUUUACUCUCCCAGGUAUCCCUGCCAACCCCUUUGUCAUUAGCCAGUUUGUUUGGGAUAGUUGGGCCAAAGUAAGAGAAACUCAUCGUCCUCCUUGGAUGGCAAACCUUCAGCAGGCUGCCUGCUUAUGGGUCUAGGUGACCUUGAAUCUUGGUGCCUCUUUCCAGACAUAUCAAACUAACCAGCUACUUCCAGCUAGGAGAAAGCCACCAGCUUGUUUGAGAAAAGAGUCAUUGAUCUGCUGACUUUGAGAGGAGAGAAUCCUGGCAUCAGGAGGGCUUGAGUAAAGUGGAUCCCUUUACUCAGUGGAAUUAGAGGGGCAAAAGAUGUCUUUUUUCCCUUCUCAUUUGAGACUGUUUAAAGCAGUGUAUUGCUAAUGGUUUCUUAUCUCCCCUUCCAGAGAACUAAGAGUUAAAGUUUAAAAACUCAAUAUGGGGGACCAGACUCCGGCUCCUGUUUGUCCCCUCAGUGGCAGUGGCUCCCCUGUGUGCAGCCUCUGCUGGACUCUGGAUAGUGCCUUGUGGGUAGCAAGAGACUUUAGUUAAAUAAUCACACUAAUGACCAAAUGAGAUAAGUGGCUUCUGAAGGAAAGAAUUUGAGGAGGCCUUAACCCUCUAGCAAGCUGGGCUAGACCCGGGGAGGCAUUCCUAAGCUGAGACAAGGAGGAUGGCUAGGAUUUCUUGGGGUGGUGGUGCAUAGGAGCAGGCCUGAAAGGUGGUAGCUAAGGGAGAGUGGGUGGAGAAUAUUCCAGAAAGAGGCAGCAGCACAGGCGGGGCCAUGUGCUGAGCGGAAGGGUGCUUUCUGGAUCACUGCAGGAUGCCUGUAUGUGUGGAUAUUGGAAGUUGCUAAGAAAGAAUUUAAAUGAAUUGAAAAGCAGGAUAGCAAGAAUCUCAUCCAACUCCUUCAUUUUACAGGAUUUGGACUCCUAGUACUAACUGUCAUUGAACACUCACUCCUGACCUUAAAACAUAUUCCCCUUACCUGGUUAACAAGGCCCAGGUGUUGACAGCAGGUGUCAGCACUCAGAGCCCCUGUGCAGAUCUGCCCCCCAGCCCUCCCAUCUGGGACUGAGGCCUUGGAAGGUUGUGCAGAUGCCUAGUGCUGCUGUCAGAACUGUUCGGGCAGGUUUGUCACCAGGAUCUAACCCCAUUCUGGGGAGGACUGCAAAGGCACCAGAAGUGCAGGAGAACGCACUGAACACAGCAAGCUGCCCUGAGUUACAAAAAUUGUGCUCCUGUCCCCACUGUAGUUCAACAUGUUAGCAUAGUCAGUGUUAUCCCGCUUGUGGGCAGAAAUAGUGCCCAGGAAGUCCCCCUCCCCCGUCAGUCUCGAUCUUAAUUAAGUUCAAAAACAAAAUGGUAGGCUGUGGCACAGGCGGUAGAGAGCAGAGGGGCAGAAACAUAGACUUCUUAGUUAGAUCCAGGAUCUGUAUUUAUUGGCCGUGUAGCUGGGGACAACCGAUUUAGCCUCAUGAAGCAUCAAUUUCUUCUCCUGCAAAAACUGGAAUAACACCUGCUUCAUAGGACUAUUGUGAGAAUUAAAUAGCACAAAUCUUGAUGUCUAAAUUUUAUUUUCUUCCUUUCCCUGUAGCAGCACAUACCACACUGUUACUGCCCAGGAGCCUUAAAAAUAUAUAAGCAUAUUGUUAGAGGUCUAAAGAAUUGGUAAGGAACCGAAAGAUACAGCUUCUACUCUGUCUCUUUCUCUUGGUUAUGGUAUCAGAGGAAAUACACGUGUUUUCUUAGCUUCAGACGACCACAAAAGAUGAUGCAUCUAAGAGAUGGGGGAUCUUAUUCAGAACCUAGUGUUGAAACCUUAUUUUCAGACAGAUUUUGAAAAUAAAGCUCAAUUCUGGUGUUAGAGGAUUAUCUACUUUUAAUGCAAGUGUAGGAUACCAGCUUUUUAAAGUUAUGUCAAAGGUUAAAUAAGAUUGCCAAUUAGUGGGGUCAUAUAUAAAUAUUCUGAUACUUAAUAUGUGGUGGGAGAGAGGAACCCAAACUCUUCCUGAAUAGGUCAAAUGAAAGUGUUGCCUUGGCCCAGGUGAAACUCACCUUUGUGUAGUAGCUAGGCUGGAGCCCCAUAGGCAGAUGGGGUGCUUGUGUCCUGAGGAAGUAAGAUAAUAUAUCUGAAAACACUUGGAUGCUAUGAAAUUUUGUAUAAAUGCAAGGCAGUGUGAAUGUAAAUAUUAACGUGUUUUAAUAAUAGCUUUGGCUAUUUUAUUCAUCACCUGUAUAAUAAUUUCUAGUGACUGUGAACUUAGAAUCAUCCUAGACUUAAUGAGUUUUGUAUCAUUCUUGCCUGUUUGAAGCCUAAGCUGUGAUGUUCCUUGUAGCUCUGACCAGCUGUAUAGCCGUCCUCUCUGAUGGCACAUUCUGUCAUGUCAUAAGUAGAACUGCAAGAAGACAUUUCUCCUCAGGGCGGAGGCUGGGUCUUCCAAUCACACCUCCCUUUCUUCAGUGAGAUCCUCUUCUUCUGGAAGCUGGUUUCACAUGGUGGCUUAGAUUUUUCCAUCUUUGUAUCUAGCACCAUUUGAAAUCAGUGUUUUAGGAGUAAGAAAUGCAGCACAGCAAAGGGCGGACUGCAAAGGAACUGUGGUUCCUGGGACUGGCUCCUCUCCUCUCACCACGUGAGCCUGUUCAAGAAGUUGAAGGAACUGGAAAAGCAAAAUAUACUCUGCAAUAUGGUGGGUC